rnacentral:rRNA from 1 species
GACGAACGCUGGCGGCGUGCCUAAUACAUGCAAGUUGAGCGCUGAAGGUUGGUACUUGUACCAACUGGAUGAGCAGCGAACGGGUGAGUAACGCGUGGGGAAUCUGCCUUUGAGCGGGGGACAACAUUUGGAAACGAAUGCUAAUACCGCAUAAAAACUUUAAACACAAGUUUUAAGUUUGAAAGAUGCAAUUGCAUCACUCAAAGAUGAUCCCGCGUUGUAUUAGCUAGUUGGUGAGGUAAAGGCUCACCAAGGCGAUGAUACAUAGCCGACCUGAGAGGGUGAUCGGCCACAUUGGGACUGAGACACGGCCCAAACUCCUACGGGAGGCAGCAGUAGGGAAUCUUCGGCAAUAGACGAAAGUCUGACCGAGCAACGCCGCGUGAGUGAAGAAGGUUUUCGGAUCGUAAAACUCUGUUGGUAGAGAAGAACGUUGAUGAGAGUGGAAAGCUCAUCAAGUGACGGUAACUACCCAGAAAGGGACGGCUAACUACGUG